rnacentral:tRNA from 1 species
GGGAUAGUGGCUCAGGGGUAGAGUGCUUGCCUUGCAUGCAUGAGGCCCUGGGUUCGAUUCCUCAGCACCA